rnacentral:rRNA from 1 species
CCGGUGAGACCGAGGGUGCCCGAAAGGGAGCGGUAACACAGGUGCUGCAUGGCUGUCGUCAGCUCGUGUCGUGAGAUGUUGGGUUAAGUCCCGCAACGAGCGCAACCCUUGUCACUAGUUGCCACCGUAAGGGGCACUCUAGUGAGACUGCCGGUGACAAACCGGAGGAAGGUGGGGAUGACGUCAAGUCCUCAUGGCCCUUAUGGGUAGGGCUUCACACGUCAUACAAUGGCGCAUACAGAGGGCUGCCAACCCGCGAGGGGGAGCCAAUCCCAGAAAGUGCGUCGUAGUCCGGAUUGCAGUCUGCAACUCGACUGCAUGAAGUCGGAAUCGCUAGUAAUCGCGGAUCAGCAAUGUCGCGGUGAAUACGUUCCCGGGUCUUGUACACACCGCCCGUCACACCAUGGGAGUGGGUUUCACCAGAAGACGGUUGCCUAACCCGCAAGGGGAGGCGCUGACCACGGUGAGAUUCAUGACUGGGGUGAAGUCGUAACAAGGUAACCGU